AAUGGAGUGCCUGAUAAAAAGGAUUAUCUUGAUAGGAUAAAUAAAGUAAUUUAAAUUUACCUCCAUUA
rnacentral:tRNA from 1 species